CCAGUGGCCAGUGGCGUUGGCCUUUUGAAAAUAUUCUGUUUAAAAGAGAAAUGGGUAUAAAAGGUAUCUGGUGAAAAUAGCAACACUCUGUUACCAAACACAAACUCCAAUAGUUUCCAAACAAACAAGUCAUGAACGUUAAUUACUGACAUUAACUACAUCAAUUCGGAAAUUUCAACCCUAAUCAAGCAUUCCCCCCUCACCUGCUCUCCGCAGGAUGAUAAUAAUAAGGGGAUUACAUUAGGGUUUAUUUCACAUAAAGCUAGAGUUGAGAAAUAUUUACAGAGCAGAGCAACACAUGAACAUACAUGACAAGCUUCAAUGCUUGAUCAUGAUGAUUAGGAGGAAGAAGUGGCAAAGGGUUUAACCAUGUCAGAAACAAUCUUCUUCAUCACAGCACCUCGAGGCGGCACAGGUGCCCUCACGCUAGCCGGGGCCUGGCUAGAUCUGCCUCCACUUGAUGAGCGUCCACUUGAGCCUCCCCAUCAUUCAUCUUCACUCACCGCUUAAGCUCAGCUUCAAGUCCCAGUAGGAAGAUGGGCCAAGAAGAAGAGAAUGGAAACAAUGCAGACAAAUAUGUUUUUAUCACACAAUAAAUAUACACACAACCAACCAGGGCCCCGAUCUUUCUUGGACAUUAUUGGAUGUCUUAUUUUAAUAAUAUUAUAUGGAGCAAUAUUACAAAGUGGGCACGCUCUCAGCUUCUCACCGUGGAAAUAACCAUCAAGGCCUCUGAAUAAUUCGGCAACCGCGUCACCCUGUGUACGUCACCAUCGGCAGUCGAAAUCUGUGGGCUGGUUAAAAUCUUAUCUUCAUCGAUUCAUAGGGACCACGGCGGAUUUAAUUAAGAACCAUUGAUGUUGUUUUGUGGUUCAUAAUCUCACAUGAUAAAUGGAAUGCGGUUGGCUGGCUUGAU
rnacentral:lncRNA from 1 species